UCCCUGGUGGCUCUCUCAGUAAAGAAUCUGCCUGCAAUGCAGGAGACCCAGGUUCGAUUCCUGGUUCGGGAA
rnacentral:tRNA from 1 species